rnacentral:rRNA from 1 species
GCUGGCGGCGUGCCUAACACAUGCAAGUCGAACGAGAAAGUUCCCCGCAAGGGGGACGAGUACAGUGGCAGACGGGUGAGUAACACGUGAACAAUCUACCCUCGAGUGGGGAAUAACCCCGCGAAAGCGGGGCUAAUACCGCAUAAUACUUCUGGGACGCAUGUCCUGGAGAUCAAGGGCUUCGGUCGCUUGAGGAGGAGUUCGCGCCUGAUUAGCUAGUUGGUGAGGUAACGGCCCACCAAGGCAACGAUCAGUAGCCGGCCUGAGAGUGCGUACGGCCACACUGGAACUGAGACACGGUCCAGACUCCUACGGGAGGCAGCAGUGGGGAAUUUUGCGCAAUGGGCGAAAGCCUGACGCAGCAACGCCGCGUGGAGGAUGAAGGCCUUCGGGUCGUAAGCUCCUGUCAGGGGGGACGAAACGCCGGGCAACCGGCUUGACUGUACCCCCGGAGGAAGCCACGGCUAACUCCGUGCCAGCAGCCGCGGUAAUACGGAGGUGGCUAGCGUUGUUCGGAAUUACUGGGCGUAAAGGGCGCGUAGGCGGCAUUGCAAGUCAGAUGUGAAAGCCCCGGGCUUAACUCGGGAACUGCAUCUGAAACUGCUUUGCUUGAGUCCUGGAGGGGGUAGUGGAAUUCCCAGUGUAGCGGUGAAAUGCGUAGAUAUUGGGAGGAACACCUGCGGCGAAGGCGGCUACCUGGACAGUGACUGACGCUGAGGCGCGAAAGCUAGGGGAGCGAACGGGAUUAGAUACCCCGGUAGUCCUAGCCGUAAACGAUGGGCACUUGGUGUUGGGGGUAUUGAGUCCCUCGGUGCCGGAGUUAACACGUUAAGUGCCCCGCCUGGGGAGUACGGUCGCAAGACUGAAACUCAAA